AGCAGCCGCGGUAAUUCCAGCUCCAAUAGCGUAUAUUAAAGUUGUUGCAGUUAAAAAGCUCGUAGUUGAAUUUCGGGGUUAGUAAGUUGGUCAUGCCUCUGGUAUACACUGGCUUUACUGAUUCCUCCUUCUUGGUGAACUGUAAUGUCAUUAAUUUGGUGUUGCAGGGAAUCAGGACUGUUACUUUGAAAAAUUAGAGUGUUUAAAGCAGGCAUACGCUUGAAUACAUUAGCAUGGAAUAAUGAAAUAGGACGUUUGAUCCUAUUUUGUUGGUUUCUAGGAUUGACGUAAUGAUUAAUAGGGAUAGUUGGGGGCAUUAGUAUUCAAUUGUCAGAGGUGAAAUUCUUGGAUUUAUUGAAGACUAACUACUGCGAAAGCAUUUGCCAAGGAUGUUUUCAUUAAUCAAGAACGAAAGUUAGGGGAUCAAAGACGAUCAGAUACCGUCGUAGUCUUAACCAUAAACUAUGCCGACUAGGGAUCGGAUGAUGUUAUUUUUAAUGACUUAUUCGGCGCCUUAAC
rnacentral:rRNA from 1 species